GAUGGCUUGGUGGUGUCCUAUAGAAGUACUGACUCUGCACAGCUUUUUGAAAUCAGUCAAAGUUGGCUGAGUGCUGCAAAUGUGGGUUAUUAAACUCAUAUGUCAGCUUUCCCCAGCCUAAAUUUUUUUCAGAUGAAUUAGGGAUACUGAUCCCAGACUUUCUAUCCACUUAAUAAGAGCCAAAAUGAGCCUAUGUCACAGUUUUGCUACUCCUCCCAUUUGACUUCAGAGUCAUUAUACUCUUAUGUCACUCAUUCCACCCCAGAUCCUUGGGGGGGGGGUUUGAAAAGAAAGCCAUAGAAAAUUUGCACGUAGGCACAUAUUUUAAUGCAUUUUUGCACCCAAUGACCAUUUCUCAAUGUUUUCUUACAGAAGACAUACGUAAGUCUUCCAAUCUCCAUCAAGAAGAAAUAAUUUUGAUUUGAGAACCACACUAUUUGGGAAGGGGAAAAAGGCAAGUAUGAGCAGAGAAAGAUGGAAAGUGCAAAGAAUGUUGGUUCUCUUUGAAAUGCAGACAAUAUGAAAUGCCUACAUCUUAACCUUACAUGUAACAUGCUUUGAUUUUCUGGGAUUUAACACUUUAUAGUCACAACCUGGACAAUGCUUUAUUUUCCAUUGUUUAACCUCUGUUUUUUUUUAGGACCCUGAAAUCCCUUGCUUUGGGGUGCAGUCAGGGUGGCUGAAUGGAGCUGAGCGUUUGCUGGCCAGAUGUCCUUUCUGACACCUACAUAGGGUUCACAGCAGAUAUUUUCUUUUUGCACCCUGAUAGAGAAACAUCUGUCACUGCCUAGGAUUGAACUCUCAACCUUCCAACUACGAGAGGGACUUCUCAGCCAACCUGCACUUCCAUACUUCAUCACUUCAGAUGGAUGAUGGAGAUUCUUUGGCUACAAUCUUCUCAAUCACAGCGAUCAGUGUUUCCAUGUUCUACAAGAGAUCUACAAGCAAACUUUUCUCCAUCUUCUGGAGACAAUAGGCAAUGAGAGAACCGUAGAAUACAGCUUCACCCUUCAUUCUAGGGUCUUCAAGAUUUCCAGGGUGUCUGCUGCUGAUCAAUACCUCCAAGGGAAUCUUAUUCUUUGGAUGCCAAUACUAAUUUGGUUGGCCUGUAUAAGUCAAGAAAAGGAGAAAUAAGAAAAGAGAUGAUGUGAAGAAACCCAGAAUGUUUAAUAUGACAGUAAGAGGUUGCAAUGUAUGGCUGUGAAAGUUGGACCAUAAGAAAGGCUGACCGCCAAAGACUUGAGGCCUUUGAACUAUGGUGCUGGAGAAGACUCCUGUAAG